AUUGAACGCUGGCGGAAUGCUUUACACAUGCAAGUCGAACGGCAGCACGGGAGCUUGCUCCUGGUGGCGAGUGGCGAACGGGUGAGUAAUGCGUCGGAACGUACCGAGUAAUGGGGGAUAACGCAGCGAAAGCUGUGCUAAUACCGCAUACGCCCUGAGGGGGAAAGUGGGGGAUCGCAAGACCUCACGUUAUUCGAGCGGCCGACGUCUGAUUAGCUAGUUGGUGGGGUAAUGGCCUACCAAGGCGACGAUCAGUAGCGGGUCUGAGAGGAUGAUCCGCCACACUGGAACUGAGACACGGUCCAGACUCCUACGGGAGGCAGCAGUGGGGAAUUUUGGACAAUGGGGGCAACCCUGAUCCAGCCAUUCCGCGUGAGUGAAGAAGGCCUUCGGGUUGUAAAGCUCUUUCAGCUGGAACGAAACGGUACGCUCUAACAUAGCGUGCUAAUGACGGUACCGGCAGAAGAAGCACCGGCUAACUACGUGCCAGCAGCCGCGGUAAUACGUAGGGUGCGAGCGUUAAUCGGAAUUACUGGGCGUAAAGCGUGCGCAGGCGGAUUGUUAAGCAAGAUGUGAAAUCCCCGGGCUUAACCUGGGAAUGGCAUUUUGAACUGGCAGUCUAGAGUGCGUCAGAGGGGGGUGGAAUUCCACGUGUAGCAGUGAAAUGCGUAGAGAUGUGGAGGAACACCAAUGGCGAAGGCAGCCCCCUGGGAUGACACUGACGCUCAUGUACGAAAGCGUGGGUAGCAAACAGGAUUAGAUACCCUGGUAGUCCACGCCCUAAACGAUGUCAACUGGUUGUUGGG
rnacentral:rRNA from 1 species